rnacentral:rRNA from 1 species
AACGCGAAGAACCUUACCAGGGCUUGACAUGCACGGUGCACCUCUAGAGAUAGAGGGUCCUUUGGGGUCGUGCACAGGUGGUGCAUGGUUGUCGUCAGCUCGUGUCGUGAGAUGUUGGGUUAAGUCCCGCAACGAGCGCAACCCUCGUCCUGUAUUGCCAGCAGCAUCUUCGGAUGGCUGGGGACUUGCGGGAGACUGCCGGGGUCAACUCGGAGGAAGGUGGGGAUGACGUCAAAUCAUCAUGCCCCUUAUGUCCUGGGCUGCACGCAUGCUACAAUGGCCGGUACAGAGGGCUGCGAUACCGUGAGGUGGAGCGAAUCCCGUAAAGCCGGUCUCAGUUCGGAUCGGGGUCUGCAACUCGACCCCGUGAAGUCGGAGUCGCUAGUAAUCGCAGAUCAGCAACGCUGCGGUGAAUACGUUCCCGGGCCUUGUACACACCGCAUAC